rnacentral:rRNA from 1 species
UACAGGGGGGGCAAGCGUUGUUCGGAAUUACUGGGCGUAAAGGGCUCGUAGGCGGCCAACUAAGUCACACGUGAAAUCCCCAGGCUUAACCUGGGAACUGCGUGUGAUACUGGAUGGCUUGAAUUCGGGAGAGGGAUGCAGAAUUCCAGGUGUAGCGGUGAAAUGCGUAGAUAUCUGGAGGAACACCGGUGGCGAAGGCGGCAUCCUGGACCGGCAUUGACGCUGAGGAGCGAAAGCCAGGGGAGCAAACGGG